AACUUUCAACAACGGAUCUCUUGGCUCUCGCAUCGAUGAAGAACGCUGCGAAAUGCGAUAAGUAAUGUGAAUUGCAGAAUUCAGUGAAUCAUCGAAUCUUUGAACGCACCUUGCGCCCUUUGGUAUUCCGAAGGGCACACCUGUUUGAGUGUCA
rnacentral:rRNA from 1 species